AACGAACGCUGGCGGCAUGCCUAACACAUGCAAGUCGAACGAGACCUUCGGGUCUAGUGGCGCACGGGUGCGUAACGCGUGGGAACCUGCCCUUAGGUUCGGAAUAACUCCCCGAAAUGGGUGCUAAUACCGGAUAAUGUCUUCGGACCAAAGAUUUAUCGCCUUUGGAUGGGCCCGCGUUGGAUUAGCUAGUUGGUAGGGUAAAAGCCUACCAAGGCGACGAUCCAUAGCUGGUCUGAGAGGAUGAUCAGCCACACUGGGACUGAGACACGGCCCAGACUCCUACGGGAGGCAGCAGUGGGGAAUAUUGGAAAAUGGGCGAAAGCCUGAUCCAGCAAUGCCGCGUGAGUGAUGAAGGCCUUAGGGUUGUAAAGCUCUUUUACCCGGGAUGAUAAUGACAGUACCGGGAGAAUAAGCUCCGGCUAACUCCGUG
rnacentral:rRNA from 1 species